rnacentral:rRNA from 1 species
GGCCGAAAGGCGUAGUCGAUGGGUAGCAGGUCAACAUUCCUGCGCCUCCACGGCGAUCGAACCAGAGUGCGAAUCCCAAAGCUUUGCAGAAGCAUCAGCAUGCUGAGGCCCUUGUGGCCGUCGCAAGGGGGAGGGGUUCCGAGAAAAGCUCUGGGGGCAAUGUGGAGUCCGUACCGAUAACCGACACAGGUGGGCGAGGCGAAUAGCCUCAGGCGCUCGAGAGAACCGUCGUGAAGGAAUUAGGCAAAUUGACCCCGUACGUUCGCAAUAAGGGGGCCCUCCUCGCAAGAGAGGGCGCAGAGAAAAGGCUCUGGCGACUGUUUAUCAAAAACACAG